CUUUUACAAUGAAGAGUUUGAUCCUGGCUCAGGAUGAACGCUAGCUACAGGCUUAACACAUGCAAGUCGAGGGGCAUCAGGAAGAAAGCUUGCUUUCUUUGCUGGCGACCGGCGCACGGGUGAGUAACACGUAUCCAACCUGCCCUUUACUCGGGGAUAGCCUUUCGAAAGAAAGAUUAAUACCCGAUGGCAUAAUGAUUCCGCAUGGUUUCAUUAUUAAAGGAUUCCGGUAAAGGAUGGGGAUGCGUUCCAUUAGGUUGUUGGUGGGGUAACGGCCCACCAAGCCUUCGAUGGAUAGGGGUUCUGAGAGGAAGGUCCCCCACAUUGGAACUGAGACACGGUCCAAACUCCUACGGGAGGCAGCAGUGAGGAAUAUUGGUCAAUGGGCGCUAGCCUGAACCAGC
rnacentral:rRNA from 1 species